AUAUCAAUAAGCGGAGGAAAAGACACCAACAGGGAUUCCCUUAGUAACGGCGAGUGAAAAGGGAGAAGCGCAACAUGGGAAUCGUGCCGCAAGGUUCGAGUUGUAGGGUUGCAUCGUUUACCUUGGACAAAGCGGCGUGUAAGUCUCUUGGAAUAGAGCAGCACAGAGGGUGAUACUCCCGUAACGCGCUGCAGAGUCUGUGAUGGUAAGCGAUAGGCGAGUCGAGUUGUUUGGGAAUGCAGCUCCAACGGGUGGUAAACUCCAUCCAACGCUAAAUACUGGUGAGAGACCGAUAGCGCACAAGUA
rnacentral:rRNA from 1 species